AUUGAACGCUGGCGGCAGGCCUAACACAUGCAAGUCGAACGGUAACAGGAAGCAGCUUGCUGCUUCGCUGACGAGUGGCGGACGGGUGAGUAAUGUCUGGGAAACUGCCUGAUGGAGGGGGAUAACUACUGGAAACGGUAGCUAAUACCGCAUAACGUCGCAAGACCAAAGAGGGGGACCUUAGGGCCUCUUGCCAUCGGAUGUGCCCAGAUGGGAUUAGCUAGUAGGUGGGGUAACGGCUCACCUAGGCGACGAUCCCUAGCUGGUCUGAGAGGAUGACCAGCCACACUGGAACUGAGACACGGUCCAGACUCCUACUGGAGGCAGCAGUGGGGAAUAUUGCACAAUGGGCGCAAGCCUGAUGCAGCCAUGCCGCGUGUAUGAAGAAGGCCUUCGGGUUGUAAAGUACUUUCAGCGGGGAGGAAGGGAGUAAAGUUAAUACCUUUGCUCAUUGACGUUACCCGCAGAAGAAGCACCGGCUAACUCCGUG
rnacentral:rRNA from 1 species